rnacentral:lncRNA from 1 species
CCUAUGGUCAAUGUCACUGCUGUGGCUAAUGAUGUCAUUGUCUUGGUCAAUGUCACUGCUAUGACAAUGCUAUGUUCAAUGAUGUCGCUGCUAUGUUACAGCUUUGAUCAAUGAUGUCAGUGCUAUAUCACUGAUGUGAUCAAUAUUGUCAAUGCUAUGUCACUGUUAUGGUCAAUAAUAUCACUGCUAUGGUCAAUGAUGAUACUGCUAACCUCACUGCUAUGGUCAAUGAUAUCACUGUUAUCGUCAAUGAUGUCAUUUUUCUGAUCAGUAUCAAUGAUGUCACUGCCCUGAUCAAUGAUGUUACUGUUAUGGCCAAAUGUCACUGAGAUGCUCAAUGUCACUGCUAUGGUCAAUGAUGUUGUUGCUUUGAUCAAUGAUAUCACUGCUAUUGUCAAUGGCAGUGCUAUGUUCAAAGAUGUUACUGCUAUGUUGCAGCUUUGGUCAAAGAUGUCAGUGCUAUGUCACAGCUAUGGUUAAUUAUAUCACUACUAUGUCACUGCUAUGUCACUUCUAUGGUCAAUGAUGUCACUGCUAUGGUCAACAUCACUGCUAUGGUCAAUGAUGUCACUGCUAUGGUCAAUGAUGUCACUUCCAUGGUCAAUGAUGUCACUUUUAUGUUGCUGCUUUGGUCAAUUAUGUCAGUGUUAUGUCACUGGUAUGGUUGAUGAUGUCACUUCUAUAGACAAUGUCACUGCUAUUGUCAACGUCACUGCUAUUGUCAAUGUCACUGCUAUUGUCAAUGUCACUGCUAUGGUCAAUGAUAUUGCUGCUUUGGUCAAUGAUAUCACUUCUAUGGUCAAUAAUGUCGCUGCUGUGGUCAACAUCACUGCUAUGAUCAAUGAUAUCAUUUUUCUGGUCAGUGUCAAUGAUGUCACUGUCAUGAUCAAUGCUGUUACAAUUAUAGUCAAAUGUCACAGUGAUGGUCAACAAUGUCAUGUCCAAUGUCAAUGUCAGUGCUAGGGUCAAUGAUGUCACUGUCCUGGUCAAUGUCACUGCUGCAAUCAAUGAUGGCACUGCUAUGGUAAAUGUGAGUGUUAUGGUCAAUGAUGUAACCACUAUGGACAGUGAUGUCUCUGCUAUUGUCAAUGCCAUUGCUAUGGUCAAUGAUGUCAUUUUCCUAGUCAAUGUCACUGCUAUUGUCAAUUUCAGGGCUAUAAUCAAUGAUGUUGCUGUUAUGAUCAAUGUCAUUGCUAUGGUCAAUGAUGUCACUGCUAUGUUCAAAAAAAUAAGAAAGCUA